GGGCCGUUAGCUCAGCUGGUAGAGCACCGGCCUUUUAAGCCGGGUGUCGCAGGUUCGAAUCCUGCACGGCUCACCA
rnacentral:tRNA from 1 species